rnacentral:rRNA from 1 species
AACGAACGCUGGCGGCAUGCCUAACACAUGCAAGUCGAACGAGACCUUCGGGUCUAGUGGCGCACGGGUGCGUAACGCGUGGGAACCUGCCCUUAGGUUCGGAAUAACUCCCCGAAAGGGGUGCUAAUACCGGAUAAUGUCUUCGGACCAAAGAUUUAUCGCCUUUGGAUGGGCCCGCGUUGGAUUAGCUAGUUGGUAGGGUAAAAGCCUACCAAGGCGACGAUCCAUAGCUGGUCAGAGAGGAUGAUCAGCCACACUGGGACUGAGACACGGCCCAGACUCCUACGGGAGGCAGCAGUGGGGGAUAUUGGACAAUGGGCGAAAGCCUGAUCCAGCAAUGCCGCGUGAGUGAUGAAGGCCUUAGGGUUGUAAAGCUCUUUUACCCGGGAUGAUAAUGACAGUACCGGGAGAAUAAGCUCCGGCUAACUCCGUG